AUGGUGUUUGAUAUGACAAGGCUAUCCACAAAGUGUUUAACCACACUUGUGUCAUAUAAACCUCCGCAUCUAGUGCACCAUUUUUCUUUUCAUUACAGCAGACUUACCGCUUUUGUUCUAACAUUAGGAUGAAGUCAACAUUGAUUGCCGUUGUGUUUGUUAGUAGCCUUAUAAUCCAAUGCUUCGUGGCGGGCACUUACAUCGGACCUGUCGACACUUGCAACCCAGUGUGUGACGAAUCGCACUGCUGCUUCCGUGUGGCGUUGCCAUGGAAACGUUUCACCGAGGCUGUAAGCCGAGAGCUGUACGCCGACAUCUGCCUACAACGCCCUGGAAAGGGAGACAGCUGCAUGCAAACACACGUUGGCAGUUCUUGCGAUUGUCUCCCUGGACUCUCGUGCUCGGCUGAGUCAGACGGCCUGCUGUCGACUUGCCAGUAAAAUGUCAAAACUAC